rnacentral:rRNA from 1 species
GUAGGGGAAUCUUCCACAAUGGACGCAAGUCUGAUGGAGCAACGCCGCGUGAGUGAAGAAGGUCUUCGGAUCGUAAAACUCUGUUGUUAGAGAAGAACACGAGUGAGAGUAACUGUUCAUUCGAUGACGGUAUCUAACCAGCAAGUCACGGCUAACUACGUGCCAG